UACGUAGGGGGCGAGCGUUGUCCGGAUUUAUUGGGCGUAAAGAGCGUGUAGGCGGUUCGGUAAGUCUGCCGUGAAAACCUGAGGCUCAACCUCGGGCGUGCGGUGGAUACAGCCGGGCUAGAGGACGGUAGAGGCGAGUGGAAUUCCCGGUGUAGCGGUGAAAUGCGCAGAUAUCGGGAGGAACACCAGUAGCGAAGGCGGCUCGCUGGGCCGUUCCUGACGCUGAGACGCGAAAGCUAGGGGAGCGAACAGG
rnacentral:rRNA from 1 species